GGGGAAUUUUCCGCAAUGGGCGAAAGCCUGACGGAGCAAUACCGCGUGAGGGAGGAAUGCCUUUGGGUUGUAAACCUCUUUUCUCAGGGAAGAAGAUCUGACGGUACCUGAGGAAUAAGUAUCGGCUAACUCCGUGCCAGCAGCCGCGGUAAUACGGAGGAUGCAAGCGUUAUCCGGAAUCAUUGGGCGUAAAGCGUCCGCAGGUGGUUUCCAAAGUCUGCUGUUAAAGACUGGAGCUCAACUCCGGAACGGCGGUGGAAACUUGGAAACUAGAGUUCGGUAGGGGUAGCAGGAAUUCCCAGUGUAGCGGUGAAAUGCGUAGAUAUUGGGAAGAGCAUCGGUGGCGAAGGCGUGCUACUGGACCCUAACUGACACUCAGGGACGAAAGCUAGGGGAGCGAAAGGGAUUAGAUACCCCUGUAGUCCUAGCUGCAAACGAUGGAAACUAGGUGUGGCUUG
rnacentral:rRNA from 1 species